rnacentral:rRNA from 1 species
AGGUGACUAUAGCACGAAGGUUCCACCUCUUCCCAUUCCGAACAGAGAAGUUAAGCUUCGUCACGCCGAUGGUACUGCAGACUGUGGGAGAGUAGGUAGUCGCCG